GCUGUUUCAUGUUAGCUUACUUAUUGAAAUGAACUGUUCCAACGUGAGCCCAUAGCUAAUAAGGCUUCGGAAGUGUGGAAAAUUUACUGGAACUCCAAAAGAACUGUCCUGAAUCUAGGAGAAAUUGAUUUUGGUUCUUUCUAGCUCUCUGCCCCUCAUUUGUAUGUGACCUUGGGGAAGCUCUUAGAUCUUUUUGAAUCUCCCAAUCCUUGUCUCUGGUUGGACUAGAAAGCCUUAGCUUAUUUAUAGCCUCAAGAUUCUAUGAUGUCAUGGUUCCUUCUCUAUGCGUGUUCUCUUGAGAACCAAGCAGGAUCAAUAGUUUUCAGAAGAACAGAAGUACAGAAAAAAAUGUGUUGUACUGCCCUAGCUCUACCCCUCCCAGGUUAUGACUCCUUCUGUUACUUUUGACUGGGUCCUACCUUCCGUUUUUGGUCCAGUAACAGGGCUGCCAUUUGGGAAUGGAUUCUCAGGCUCUAGUUGCUCCCCAGAAAAGCCUCAGCAAGUCAUUUUACCCUUUGCCUCUCACUCUACAUGGGUCUUUUCGAGAAUAUCUUAAUGAAAUAUUUCCUCAUCCCUGCGGACAAAGAGAUUUUUAUUGUGGGGGUGUCCCAUUAUUUUCCAUCUCAGGGACUCCUCCUUCAUUGUUUCCUUUUCUCUUCUGCUUCUCUUUCAUGGCUGCGCGUUUCUUCUUCCAGUGUUGCGGGCUAGGUCAGCAGCUGCAGGAGAACUUGAUUAGUGCCUUGCCUCAGUGCAGAUGCAUUUCCCUGACAGCAUCGAUCCUGGGUGCUUUCGCUUUGCAGGCAGCUCCACAGAGGAGGAGCUUGUACUGCAAAGGAGGUGGACUGUUGUCUGUUCAAGAUAUGAGUGGGAUCACUAAAACAUGGAAGCAACAAAAGUACCUACACUUCUAUCUCUACCUGACAAGAAAAUAUUGCAAGAUGAAGAAACUGAAGCAUAAAGCAUCUAGAAGACAAGCCACUGCAAGUUUCUGAAAAAACUGAAAAAAUUCCUUUUGUUCAUGGUAUUCCCCCAGGGGGAAAAAAAUUUAAAAGCAAGCCCCAAGUAGCACAAAAAAAUGAUAAAAGGAAAAGUUUUAUAAGGGUAUACAGCAGCAAUCCAGAAGAGAGGUGAACUUGAAAGAAAGAAAUAAAUGUUUACAAAUUGCAAAGACUUAAAUUCCCUUCUCUCUGGCCCUUCUAAUAAGGUAGGACCCCAAGGGACUACCUUAUCCAGGAAAAAAAGCAUCUUGACAGGAAGGCUCAGAUUUGCAGUUCUUGACGCUCUCUUCUUUUUUUUUUUUUUUUUUUUUUUUGUCUUUUUUUUUUUGUUGUUGUUGUUGUUGUAUUUCUUGGCCGCUCCUGCGCUAUG
rnacentral:lncRNA from 9 species